rnacentral:rRNA from 1 species
UACAUUGAUAGUAAUGCAUCCGGUGGAUGCCUAGGUGUUUUCAUUGAAGGAUUAAUGGGAAUCAAAUGAACCAUUAAUGAUUUAUUAUAGGAAGUAAUAUAUCUAUACUAAAUCCAAUACACAGGGAACUGAAACAUCUUAGUACCUGUAGGAAGAUUUAUCUAAGAUAUUCCGUUAGUAGUGGCGAAUGAAAGCGGAUCAUGGCUGUUAUGGUAACACAAGGAUGUUGGUUACUUGAAAGAGUAAGUGGUAAUAGGUUAAAACCCGAUAUCAUCUUAGUAGUUUCCAAAGGAAAGUAGAAUGAGACACGAUGAACCUCAUUCGAAGAUAGGAGGACCACCUUCUAAGCCAAAAUAUAUGGAUACAACCGAUAGUGAACUAGUACCGUGAGGGAAAGGUGAAACAGACACCCGAACAGGGUAGUGAAACAGAUCCUGAAACCGGAUGCUGACAAGCAGUCGGAGGGUCCAAAGACCUGACGACGUACCUUUUGCAUAAUGGGUCAACGAGUUGUUGUUGUAAGCAAAGCUUAUGUUUAAUACUAUUAAAGGCGAAGCGAAAGCAAGUCCACAAAGGGCAACAAUAAGUUUACAGCUUCAAACCCGAAACCGAGUGAUCUAACCAUGGACAGAUUGAAGACCGAUUAAUCUCUGUUGGAGGAUCGAACCCGUGUGUGUAGCAAAACGCUGGGAUGAUCUGUGGUUAGGGGUGAAAGGCCAAUCAAACUCGGAGAUAGCUGGUUCUCUGCGAAACCUAUGUAGGUAGGUUGUUGAUUUUAUCUCAAAGGAAGGUAGAGCACUGGAUGGAUGGGUAUAACGAGAGUUAUAGUUAAGUUCAACCAAACUCCGAAUAUCCUUCGAAGAACUGAUCAACAAACACACCAUGAGCUCUAACGUCCAUGGUGGAGAGGGAAACAACCCAGACCUUUGAUCAAGGUCCUUAAAUCUGAACUAAGUGAAGAAGAUGACAACCAUCCAAUGUCUAUCAGGAUGUAGGCUUAGAAGUGGCCAUCAUCUAAGGAAAGCGUAACAGCUCACUGAUUAACGAAUGGUUGAGUCUAAAAUGUAACGGGACUAAGUUCAGUACCGAAGUCAAGGACAUUGCCAAUCGAGCAAUGUGGUAGCAGAGCAUUCCGUAGGCCAUGGAAGGCAACCCGUGAGGGUUGUUGGAGGCAUCGGAAGUGAGAAUGUUGACAUGAGUAACGAUAAUUGAAAGUAAGAAUCUUUCACACCGAAAGACCAAGGUUUCCCAUUCCAGGAUGUUCCGAAUGGGGUUAGCCGAUACCUAAGGUAAAGCGGAAACGCAUAGCCGAUGGCAAUCACGUUAAUAUUCGUGAGCCUUUUCCAAGUGAUUUAACAAGAAAUGUGUUAUGUCCUAUUGGAUCGAUAUUAGCACUUUUGAUGUUAACAGGAAAAAGCUUGGAAAUCUUGAUCGUACCUAAAACCAACACAGGUGGUUGGGUUGAGUAUACUAAGGUGUUUGAGAUAAUUGUGCUGAAGGAACUCGGCAAAUUGUAUGUGUAACUUCGGAAGAAACAUAACCUGAUUUGGGUAACCAGAUUCAGGUGUAACUGAAAUGAGGGAAGCGACUGUUUAUCAAAAACACAGGACUCUGCAAAAUCGUAAGAUGAAGUAUAGAGUCUGACGUCUGCCCGGUGCUGGUAAGUGAAAUUCGGAUGUUCCAAAGCAUCUGGUCUAAGCUCCAGUAAACGGCGGCCGUAACUAUAACGGUCCAAAGGUAGCGAAAUUCCUUGUCGGGUAAGUUCCGACCAGCAUGAAUGACGUAACGACUUCCCUGCUGUCUCCAGCACAAGCUCAGUGAAAUUGAAAUCCCCGUGAAGAUGCGGGGUAUCUGCGGCAAGACGGAAAGACCCCGUGCACCUUUACUGCAACCUUGUAUUGAUGUGAAUUUGAUUUAUUGUACAGCGUAAAUGGUAUAACGAUGACAAUUGGGUCCAAGCCCAAUUCGAGUUGUCAAUGAAACACCAUUCGAUUUUUAAAUAACAUCUGAUUACUGUCAUGUUAUUCUUGAAGUAAAACAUUGCAAGGCGGGUAGUUUGACUGGGACGGUCACCUCCUAAAAGGUAACAGAGGUGUGCAUAAGGUAGGCUCAUGACGUUUGGAAAUCGUCAGUAGAGUACAAUGGCAUAUGCCUGCUUAAGACUGCGAGGCAGACAUGUCGAGCAGAGACGAAAGUCGGUCAUAGUGAUCCAACGGAUCCAAGUGGAAGGGCUGUUGCUCAACGGAUAAAAGGUACGCCGGGGAUAACAGGCUAAUAGCUCCCAAGAGUUCUUAUCGACGGAGCUGCUUGGCACCUCGAUGUCGACUCAUCGCAUCCUGGGGCUGAACAAGGUCCCAAGGGUAUGGCUGUUCGCCAUUUAAAGCGGUACGUGAGUUGGGUUCAGAACGUCGCAAGACAGUUCGGUCCCUAUCUGCCGUGGAUGUAAGAAUGUUGAUUAGGACCUGUCUCUAGUACGAGAGGACCGAGAUGGACAUACCUCUGGUAUACCUGUUGUCGUUGCCAACGGCAUGGCAGGAUGGCUAAGUAUGGAACAGAUAACAGCUGAAUGCAUCUAAGCCGGAAGCUAACCUAGAAACGAACAUUCUAUUAAGAGAAGUGAUAAGAUCAUCACAUUGAUAGGCCAGAUGUGUAAGCAUGGUAACAUGCUAAGCUAACUGGUACUAAUACCUCGAAAGUUGUAACAAA